GCUGACGAGUGGCGGACGGGUGAGUAACGCGUAGGAAUCUGCCUUAUAGUGGGGGACAACGUGGGGAAACCCACGCUAAUACCGCAUACGCCCUACGGGGGAAAGGAGGGGAUCUUCGGACCUCUCGCUAAUAGAUGAGCCUAUGUCAGAUUAGCUAGUUGGUGGGGUAAAGGCCUACCAAGGCGACGAUCUGUAGCUGGUCUGAGAGGAUGAUCAGCCACACUGGGACUGAGACACGGCCCAGACUCC
rnacentral:rRNA from 1 species